rnacentral:rRNA from 1 species
GACGAACGCUGGCGGCGUGCUUAACACAUGCAAGUCGAACGAAGUGGCGAACGGGUGAGUAAUACGUGAGUAACCUGCCCUCCUUUUUGGGAUAAGCCUUGGAAAAGGGGUCUAAUACCGAAUAAAGGGGGAGGGGCUCGCGGCCUAUCAGCUUGUGGGGGGGGUGAUGGCCUACCAAGGCGGUGACGGGUAGCGGGCCUGAGAGGGUGACCGGCCACAUUGGGACGGAGACACGGCCCAGACUCCUACGGGAGGCAGCAGUGGGGGAUAUUGCACAAUGGGCGAAAUCCUGAUCCAGCCAUGCCGCGUGUGUGAAGAAGGCCUUCGGAUUGUAAAGCACUUUAAGUUGGGAGGCGUUACCAACAGAAGAAGCACCGGCUAACUACGUGCCAGCAGCCGCGGUAAUAC